AUGAGUCAUGACUGAAUUUGAUAUUUUAAAUUACGGCUGCUGUGACUGUCACUUGAAAAAGGAAUCAUGAUCGAAGUCAAUCUUUGCGGAGAAUCACAGUCAAAAGCAUACAUCAAAAUCUUUGAUCUUUCAAUCCAAAUUGAGUCUGUAGACUUUAAAAAAAGUUAAUAUAACUUUGUUUGCUUGGUAACUGUUUAAAAGAAUGUUGUUAACAUUCGGUGUUUCUUAUGGGGCAGCAGCUAGAACAUCUGUAGUGGAUUCUGAAAGAGUCACUUUUCAAAAAGUGUCUUUGAAGUUUCUAAAUGCAGCUGCCCUAACUGGAAAUAAGAAUGCAGAAGUGAUGUUCAGUCUUGGAAGAAUCAUGUUGUUCAUGGGUUAAGACAGUGGGAUAACUGAAAUGGCGGCGAUAUAUUGCUUUUAUUCUUUGCCGGAUCUUUUGAUGGAUACGUUGUUACAGCCUUUCAAGGUUGUCCAACUACAUCUGCCGCUGCUCCAUCAUAGGGGUAUUACUAACUGGCUCUGGAAAUCGGCGAAGGAAAAAAGACAGAAGCUUGCCAGUAUCACUAACAAGAAGCAAUUGAUAUGCAUCUCCUAUUCAUUUUAAAAAUUAUACUAAGCUUGACAUUGUUGCUUCUGAAUAUUAUUAUUGUAGAUUUGGGAGUGCCA